CUCAAAACAUCCCCAGAGAGCAGCAGCAAGGCAGGCAGCGAAUGGAUCAAGCCGGGCACAGGAGAGCGACUCCCGGCAAGUGACAGCCCUGCAAGGGAACAAACGCCGUGUGUUCCCAACUGACCGCACUUCCGCCUCCUCCCCUUCCAUUCAACACUCCCUGCUAGGGAUGCUCCCUCCAUGUACAUGACGUGCGGGCUGCAAAUACUUUUGUCUCGGUGUGGAAAAGCAGGCUGGAGAAAGCGUGUGAUCCCACGUGGUCAAGAACCUAGGUUUUUCUGGGACUGAGAAUAUUCCUUUCAGCUGUGUGAGAAGUUUUCAUCUGAGACAAAUGAAAAACAUUCCAUCCUCUUCCCACUCCCCACUUUACCAACUCUGUCAAGAACAAGAGGAAUGAGACUUGGAGAGAAACUGUCCCAAAAAGGUCAACCAUUUCAACAUGUCCAAAGCAUUGAGCGAUUUCCAGUGAAUUAUAUUCCUUAAGGAAAGGCAGAGAUGUGGGAAAGAAAAAAGGCUGGAGUGCUUCAUUUCAGAGGUGAACUCCUGUUACAUCCUGGAGCCCAGAAGCUGAGGAGAACAUGUGGGACUUGAUACAACCUGAUUUUUACUGUUACAUUUCAGAAAAUCCUUACAGCUUAAAACAAGCAUGCCACAUACACAGUAGUGAAAAAGCCAGUAUAUAUUGCCCUGCCCAGCUUCCUGCCCAGCACUAUUCAUCUGCACCUUACUCAGCUGCAGGACAACCACCAUGCAUUAAAAGAACCACAAACAAACUAACAAACAAGCUUUAUUCAUGGAAUACUUCUGCAUAUUUUACUGUCAGGAGACAAGGAUUGCUGGGCACCAUUAGUGCCAUUAGAAAUUCAGCUCAUCACCUCACUAUUAUUCAGUGUCAUGGUAACAAUUUAGCACAGCCACACAGCACUUGCAGACCUUGCAUGUUCUGGAGUUUCCCCAGACCCUUCCUAAUGCACACAUACAAACCCACUCAAAUCCAGGCCUCCCACCUUUCGUUCAACUAAACAUACUCUAAAAAAAAAAAAAAAAAAAUAAAAUCAAAUGUUGGCCACACACAACCAUUUUAGGAAAAAAAAAAUUCCCUUUAUUCUCCAACACAAGGCAAAUCUUUGAAAAAGUAAAUGUUGUGCUAUUUUAUAUGUACAGGAUAUAAAGGAUAUCAUGUAUCACAUCCAUAAUAUUUAACUUGUACUCAAAGCACACAAUGCUGUCAACAAAUAUUUAUGAUUUAAAAGAAAAUAAAAAAUCCACGAUAUUUUUAAAUGCCUGAAUGCUCAGAGAUAAAUGUCUGUAGAAGUCCCUGGAAGCAGAAAAAAGAAAACCCCUACAAAUCGGGAAUCCUUUCAGACUGUUAGCUGAAAUU